GGACUACUAGGGUUUCUAAUCCUGUUCGCUCCCCACGCUUUCGCGCCUCAGCGUCAGUAUUAUGCCAGGUGGCUGCCUUCGCCAUCGACGUUCCUUCCGAUCUCUACGCAUUUCACCGCUACACCGGAAAUUCCGCCACCCUCUCAUAUACUCCAGUCGACCAGUUUGCGAUGCUCUUCCCAGGUUAAGCCCGGGGCUUUCACAUCACACAUGGUUGACCGCCUACGCGCCCUUUACGCCCAGUAAUUCCGAUUAACGCUCGCACCCUCUGUAUUACCGCGGCUGCUGGCAC
rnacentral:rRNA from 1 species